rnacentral:lncRNA from 1 species
AUGUCAUCAUCAAAUGUUUUAAGGGAUGACUACAGAAGUUCCUCCACUAUCUACCAUAUAUCUUAUAAACUACUUCUUAUAAACUUAGAGAAACAAGCUGUCCUUGCUUGUGGAGGGGAACUGGCAGGACAGCUCGGGACUGUUGCCAAAGGAGAACAAGUAGGAGGAGGUGGGCAAGGUUUCAGUGCAGUACUGCAGAUCGGAAGUCAUAUCACUGAAACUCUGACUGCCUUUCUGAAGAUCUUCCACUGUAGUUCCAGAAUUGUUACUAGAAGCAUGAUGAUGCAGCAGGACACAGCAGAUGUGACUCCUGUUUCCUGAGCAGUAAGGAUGGAAAUGUUUUGCAGAUUUACAUGAUGCACUCUCUAAUGACUUGAUGGGACAUCCUUCCUUUCUGCAUGAUCGAAGAUAUAGUUCUUUAUGACCCAGGGAGAAGGCGAACAAGGGGAAGAAUUGCGGGAAUGGUUGAAUAUUUGUUGCUAUUAGGAACUCACAGCAGCAACUCCUUUCCUGCAUGUUAAUGAACUGACUAGCAACUCAUACUGCAAUAGCACAGAGGGCAAUCUCUGGAGUGGGCUCUGCAGUCAGGUUGCUUGGAGUCCCA